ensembl:lncRNA
UCUUUUCCUGGAGAUUGCUUCUUGUGGAGUUUUUGUGAGCCUACAAUACUGGAGAGAGUAAAUGCCUCACCAGAAUGGAAAAUUUCUGUUUUCUGGUAUUUCCACUGAGGGAUAAAGAAGUAUGUUUGUAAACAUCUUCUGAUUGAAGAAGGACUUUAACACAGGGAGAAGAAAAUUCUAGUGGAGACAGUGAAGCACAUAAUCUGUAGAAUAUUCCUAACAGAAGGAAAUUGAAAAUCUGUAUCUCCUAGAGAGCUUAGUUGCUACUGGACCUUCUAUGAGAAUCGAACGGCAGUCUCCUUCCUGCUCCUGCAUGAACUGGGUUCCUGUGGGCAGCUGCUCAUGUGUGCUCACUCACAAAAGUGCUGAGGAAAAUGGAAUGCUCUGUGACUCAGCGAGCCAUUCACACUGUGCUUCUUCUCCAACUCAAGGACUACUGAUGUGAGAAAAAAAAUUCAUGGAGUAAUGAGGGCAGCAUUCACAGGGAUGACUUUACAAGGAGGGGGCCUAUUUAACAGACAGUGUCUCCCAUGGGAGAGAUAAAGCAAUAACAAAAGGCAGAUGGGAAUUCCUGAAAGUGCUGAAAUGGUAUCAGCAGAGGCCUCUUUCGCAGUAAUGCAGGCCAAGUUAUUUGUUUGUUCAGAAGUCCAGAGCCUGUUUGAACUCUGGGAAGAGAAGGGCUAAAGGGAAUGGAGGGCUGAAGAGUUGUGGAGGAAGUCGAGAGAGCUGAAUUCACAUCCCUUCUUUUUCAAGCAUAAAGAUAGAAAAGGAUACCCUCAAUCUGUUAAGUUCUGGAUGAAAAGUAUUAUUCUUGGAUAUUGUACAUCAUAUGAUGCUUUUCCUGAGCCAGCAGACUUAUCUUCUACCCGCUGACCUACUACCUCCUGCAUGCCUUUGUAGCAGCAGCAGUUGUCCUCUUGACUUUCUAAAACUUCAGAGGUAUGAAGCAGAUGGGGCUCUGGCUGCUAGACAUGUUAGGUGUAUGCAGAGCCCGUGCCUAGAGGCAAGGAUUCUUCGCAGCUGGAAGAGCACAAGCACAAGAAUCAACUCUGAUCCCAAAGUGAAAAGCUCAUCAGUCCUUCAUCUUACAUGGUUUAUGAGUACACACUAUAGUACAACAAAAACCGAGAAAGCCCUUUAAGAAGCUGGCAAAAUAGUUACUUUCUGUUCAUGAGCUUAUAGGGAACUUUCUUUUUCUACGGUGCUGAGGGGCAGAAUAGAUAACAGGGAGCAGAUAACAUAUUCCACCUGAGAUGGCCUCACAGCCAUUUUUUCAGUUAAGUUGUUUUCCAAUUCACAUGGACUAUACACAUCUUUAAAGUAGGAACAGCUCUAGGUGUAAGCCCUGCCAAUGUCAGUGAAUCUUCAUCAGCAGGAGUUUGGCUAAGCUGCUUUUACAUGCUUAGAUGUCUUCAACAAGCCCCUGAGAAUGAAGACUUUCUCAUUUCUCUAUUGCUUUUGAAAUCAAAGUAAUACCUUUGAUUUGAUAAAAGUUUUUAAAAGGAAAACAAUCAAACAAAAAUACUUAAUGCGGCAGCAAAUAGAAGAAAACAAAUUUUAAUGUCAACAUUGAUUAAUCAGAAAGCAUUUCAUUUUGUAUGUACUGUAAUAGCUAUUAGCUCUGACAAAUGUCUAAAAAUGUCUACUUUUCUUCCUGUUCAUAUUAGUACCCAUUUCACCUGCAAUACUGAAACCACUGUGUUUGGCAUGAAUAAAAAACAUUUUUUCAGGCAUCUGCUGCUACAAUUAAAUACUCAAGCUUCUGUAUCAUUUCUAGACAAAUAGGAGCUGAAAAUGUGGCUCUUUCUAUCCUGGGAAUUCAAUUGCAUGUAGUCCACAGGGGGAUAAACAUUGCCCCAUUGUGCACUACAGAAAGUAUUUAAGCUGCAUGACCGUUAAUUUAAUCAUCCUGAAGUUUACCACUGGGAAAAAAAGGGUAGGAGGGGAAGGAGACCUGAGAACAACACAUUAGUGAUGGGUUGGUUGUCCACAGUACUGAAGCCAUAAUCGCAACAGGCAUUAAUUGACACCUUUGUUGGCAGUCUCCAUGGUUGACUGAAAUGACUCCAAGCCUGAGCUAGUCUAAUUAAAGCAUUACCUCCUUGCACAGAUCUUGCAUAGUAUAAUGAAGCAGUCUUUCUCUGAUGGGGGUAGUCUCUCUCAGGUAGCCCUGAGACCAGUUGAAUUACAGACAGGUUUAAUGUGAGGAGUAUAAAUGCUCAACUUGCUUACUGUAGUACUGUAGUUGUCACUUCAUAGUCUUUCAUGGCAUUCAGUUGGUGUACCAAAG